rnacentral:rRNA from 1 species
GGAUGAACGCUAGCGGCAGGCCUAAUACAUGCAAGUCGAACGGUGUCUUCGGACAUAGUGGCGCACGGGUGCGUAACACGUAUGCAACCUACCUUACAUUGGGGGAUAGCCUUUCGAAAGGGAGAUUAAUACCGCAUAAGACAGUAGCUGGGCAUCCAGCAGCUGUUAAAGAUUUAUCGAUGUAAGAUGGGCAUGCGUCCAAUUAGUUAGUUGGCGAGGUAACGGCUCACCAAGACUUUGAUUGGUAGGGGAACUGAGAGGUCAAUCCCCCACACUGGCACUGAGAUACGGGCCAGACUCCUACGGGAGGCAGCAGUAGGGAAUAUUGGGCAAUGGACGCAAGUCUGACCCAGCCAUGCCGCGUGCAGGAUGAAGGCGUUAUGCGUUGUAAACUGCUUUUAUACAGGAAGAAACGACUCUUGCGAGAGGCAUUGACGGUACUGUAUGAAUAAGCACCGGCUAACUCCGUGCCAGCAGCCGCGGUAAUACGGAGGGUGCAAGCGUUGUCCGGAUUUAUUGGGUUUAAAGGGUGCGCAGGUGGUUUAUUAAGUCAGUGGUGAAAGACGGUCGCUCAACGAUUGCAGUGCCAUUGAAACUGGUAGACUUGAGUAAAGUAGAGGUGGGCGGAAUUUGAUAGUGUAGCGGUGAAAUGCAUAGAUAUUAUCAAGAACUCCAAUUGCGUAGGCAGCUCACUUGGCUUUUACUGACACUCAUGCACGAAAGUGUGGGUAUCAAACAGGAUUAGAUACCCUGGUAGUCCACACUGUAAACGAUGAUAACUAGGUGUCGGCCGAAUCUGGUCGGUGCCACAG